AGGAUAAACGCUGGCGGCGUGCCUAACACAUGCAAGUCGAACGCGCUUUCGGGCUUCGGUGCGAGAGCGAGUGGCGGACGGGUGAGUAACACAUGGGUACCUACCUUGGAGUGAGGGAUACCGGCGAGAAAUCGCCGACAAUACCGCAUAGGCUUCUUCACAAGGGAAGCAAAGUGACGCGAGUCACGCUGUGAGAUGGGCCUGUGGCCGAUUAGCUAGUUGGGGGGGUAACGGCUUCCCAAGGCGACGAUCGGUAGCUGGUCUGAGAGGACGAUCAGCCACACUGGGAUUGAGAACGGCCCAGACUCCUACGGGGGCAGCAGUGAGGAAUUUUCCGCAAUGGAGGCAACUCUGACGGAGCAACGCCGCGUGCAGGAGGAAGGUUUUCGGAUCGUAAACUGCUUUUCGUCGGGGACGAGCAAGGACGGUACCCGAGGAAGAAGCCCCGGCUAACUACGCGCCAGCAGCCGC
rnacentral:rRNA from 1 species